GGAAGGGUAUUAAGACUUGGGACUUGUAACUGUAGGAAUGCAAAGGCCUCUGUUGCUAGAGAGUAUUUUGCAUUAGUUGUCAGUAGCACUGUCUUGUGUCUGUUGUAAAACAUGAGGAUAAAGAGACCAAUUGAACAUAGAAGCAGUUGUGAUGCCCUGUGGCACAGCAGUGCUUUCUGUUUUGGGAAAUGGAAAUUUUUCAUGGACUUGGAACCACUGUCACCUCUUCUGAUGCUUAGUGUUCCAAAAAGAGGAAACAGACUGCGUAUCUUGACUUUCCUCCAGCACUCAGGGUCUCAGUGCAUAUAAAAACCCACUUGGAAGCUACUGUCAGCUGCUUAUGCAAAUAAUAAUUUUGGAGUUUUUCUUUGCUGAUACUCUGUUGAUGCUUUAAAGCCACUGUGCCUUUGUGUGUCGCUCUUGCCUGAUAACUGUAAGUGAUAAUGUGUUGCUAUGAUGCAAAGGCAUACUGUAGCCUUGGCCCAGCAAGAAUGAUAUGCACACAUGCACAUAUGUGGGUUGGAGAUGUGGUGGAAGGGUUGAUUUGGGUUUAGGGAAGAGUAAUAAACACAUCAUCAUUUAUGGA